GACGAACGCUGGCGGCGCGCUUAACACAUGCAAGUCGAGCGAGAACCCAGGCUUCGGCCUGGGGGACAGCGGCGAACGGGUGAGUAACACGUGAGUAAUCUGCCCUCGGCACCGGGAUAGCCCGGGGAAACCCGGAUUAAUACCGGAUGGCCCAUCCGCUCUUCGGAGUGGCUGGGAAAGGUAGCUUCGGCCUCCGGCCGAGGAGGAGCUCGCGGCGGAUUAGCUUGUUGGUGAGGGAACGGCUCACCAAGGCCCCGAUCCGUAGCUGGUCUGAGAGGACGAUCAGCCACACGGGGACUGAGACACGGACCAGACUCCUACGGGAGGCAGCAGUGGGGAAUCUUGCGCAAUGGGCGAAAGCGUGACGCAGCGACGCGGCGUGCGGGAAGAAGGCCUUCGGGUUGUAAACCGCUUUCAGGAGGGACGAAGCCACUCGGGUUAAUAGCCCAGAGGGUGACGGUACCUCCAGAAGAAGCCCCGGCUAACUACGUGCCAGCAGCCGCCGCAGUAA
rnacentral:rRNA from 1 species